CUUGGUCAUUUAGAGGAAGUAAAAGUCGUAACAAGGUUUCCGUAGGUGAACCUGCGGAAGGAUCAUUAUUGAAGGGGAAAAAAACUUCCCCAAAAAGGAUGUAGGCCAGCCUAAAUUUGGCUGGCACACACUGGCUAUGAAACCCUUGUCUAUAAGUACUCUUGUUUCCUCGGCAGGCUUGCCUGCCAAUGGGGACCCUAAUCAAUCUUUCAAUAUUGUUGUAACCGUAACCAAACAAGUAAUCAAAACUUUCAACAACGGAUCUCUUGGUUCUGGCAUCGAUGAAGAACGCAGCGAAAUGCGAUAAGUAGUGUGAAUUGCAGAAUUCAGUGAAUCAUCGAAUCUUUGAACGCACAUUGCGCCCUGUGGUAUUCCGCAGGGCAUGCCUGUUCGAGCGUCAUUUAACCCCCUCAAGCUCUGCUUGGUGUUGGGCGUUUGUCCUACCUUUUGGCAUGGACUCGCCUUAAAAUUAUUGGCAGCCACCCUUUUUGGCUUCGAGCGCAGCACUAUUGCGUCCAGUCUUUAGGAGUGUAGUUACCCAGAAGCCCUUUCUUUCGGUUGACCUCGGAUCAGGUAGGGAUACCCGCUGAACUUAAGCAUAUCAAUAAGCGGAGGA
rnacentral:rRNA from 1 species